CCUACACCUUGAGCCCUGCACCCCUUUGUGGUGAGGGGAAAUCCUGGGACCAACGCAGCCGGAUUCCUGCCUGAGGAGGAUCACUGCCAGCAGAGAGCAGCCCCUCUGCAGUGACUGAGGAGUCCAGAGGCAUCUUUGAACCUGAGGAUCAUUCAUGGAGUUUAGCCAUAGCACCGACGGUUUUUGAUGUGCUUUGUUCAACCACAGAAGCUACAGUGUUGCACGCUAACAGACAGCCUUGACUGUCUGAAAGGAGUUCCACGUUGGCGAGGUCUCCACCUGGCUG